GACGAACGCUGGCGGCGUGCCUAAUACAUGCAAGUAGAACGCUGAAGGAGGAGCUUGCUUCUCUGGAUGAGUUGCGAACGGGUGAGUAACGCGUAGGUAACCUGCCUGGUAGCGGGGGAUAACUAUUGGAAACGAUAGCUAAUACCGCAUAACAGUAGAUAUCGCAUGAUAUCUACUUGAAAGGUGCAAUUGCAUCACUACCAGAUGGACCUGCGUUGUAUUAGCUAGUUGGUGAGGUAACGGCUCACCAAGGCGACGAUACAUAGCCGACCUGAGAGGGUGAUCGGCGACACUGGGAAUGAGACACGGCCCAGACUCCUACGGGAGGCAGCAGUAGGGAAUCUUCGGCAAUGGACGGAAGUCUGACCGGGAAACGCCGCGUGAGUGAAGAAGGUUUUCGGAUCGUAAAGCUCUGUUGUAAGAGAAGAACGAGUGUGAGAGUGGAAAGUUCACACUGUGACGGUAUCUUACCAGAAAGGUACGGCUAACUACGUG
rnacentral:rRNA from 1 species